AUGGGCCACAUCGGCCCCACCCAGCUUGCCGCCUAUGCCCUCGUAUCCACCGUCAUCAUGCGCUUCAGCAACGGCAUACUGCUGGGCAUGGCGAGCGCGCUGGAGACGCUGUGCGGGCAGUCGUACGGGGCGAAGCAGUACCACAUGAUGGGCAUCUCCCUGCAGCGCUCCUGGAUCAUCCUGACCGGCUGCGCCGUGCUCAUGCUCCCCAUCCUCAUCUUCACUGAGCCUCUCCUCGUCUUCAUCGGCCAGGACCCGGUCAUCAGCGCCGUCGCCGGGACCAUCUCGCUCUGGUACAUCCCCGUCAUGUUCGCGUGUGUCUUCAGCUUCACGCUCCAGAUGUACCUGCAGGCGCAGAGCAAGAACAUGAUCAUCACCUACCUUGCAUUUGUGACCCUCGGCCUCCAUGUGUUCCUGUCGUGGCUCUUCACCGUCAGGCUGCACCCUGGGCUCUCUGGGGUCAUGACCUCCAUGGUCAUCGCCAUGUGGAUUCCUGUGUUUGGGCAGCUCAUCUUCGUCUUCUUUGGUGGCUGCCCUCUCACAUGGACCGGCUUCUCCUUCACAGCAUUCACCGACCUCGUCCCUAUCCUCAAGUUAUCUCUAUCCUCUGGUGUCAUGCUCUGUUUGGAAUUGUGGUACAGCACCAUAUUGGUGCUCCUUACCGGGUACAUGAAGAAUGCAGAGAUUGCACUUGAUGCUCUUUCAAUAUGCCUUAACAUCAACGGUUGGGAGAUGAUGAUUUCUAUUGGCUUUUUGUCUGCAGCAGGAGUGCGUGUGGCGAAUGAGCUUGGAGCUGGAAGUGAAAGAAGGGCCAAGUUUGCCAUCAUAAAUGUCGUCACCACUUCCUUCUCGAUAGGCCUUGUGUUGUUCGUGUUUUUCCUUUUCUUCCGCGGAAAGCUUUCCUACAUAUUUACUACGAGUGAAGAGGUAGCUGCCGCAGUUGCUGACCUGUCGCCUCUUCUAGCCUUCUCCAUCUUGUUGAACAGUGUUCAACCAGUGCUAUCAGGUGUUGCUGUUGGUGCGGGUUGGCAAAGUGUAGUUGCCUAUGUCAACAUCACAACAUAUUACUUUAUCAGUAUCCCUCUUGGAGCAAUCCUAGGUUAUGUUCUUGGAUAUCAUGUGAUGGGCAUUUGGGUUGGCAUGCUGCUCGGAACACUGGUCCAAACAAUUGUACUUCUGUUCAUAACAAUUCGUACUGACUGGGAUAAACAGGUAGAGGUUACCGAGGAGAGAUUGAAGAGGUGGUACAUGGAUUGGAACAAAGGGAAGCCAGAUUCAAGGGGAAGUCCAUGA
rnacentral:rRNA from 1 species